rnacentral:rRNA from 1 species
UACGAAGGGGGCUAGCGUUGCUCGGAAUCACUGGGCGUAAAGGGUGCGUAGGCGGGUCUUUAAGUCAGGGGUGAAAUCCUGGAGCUCAACUCCAGAACUGCCUUUGAUACUGAAGAUCUUGAGUUCGGGGAGAGGUGAGUGGAACUGCGAGUGUAGAGGUGAAAUUCGUAGAUAUUCGCAAGAACACCAGUGGCGAAAGGCGGCUCACUGGCCCGAUACUGACGCUGAGGCACGAAAGCGUGGGGAGCAAACAGGAUAG